GAUUUGUCAAAAUUAUUUGAUACCGAGAAUACGUCAACACGUGAUAAAGUUCUUCAUAAAUGUGUUGCCUACUGUGAAGUAAACGGGCGACCUUAAAAUGUAUGUGUACAUGUGUAUGUUUAAUAUAGCAGAGUUUGAAUCAUAUCACAGUUCUAUCCGCAGUCAAUGAGAUUUGUCAAAUUUAUUGAUAUACAGAAAAUAUGUCAACAAUUAACAAAAGUUCUUCGUAAAGGUGUCAACUACCGUGCAGUAAAUGGACAAACGUAAAGUGUGUGUGUAUUUGUGUAUGUUUGUAACAUUAAAUGUAAGUAUUCCGCAAUUUGAUCCAGUCACCGAGAUUUUGUAAAUAUAUUGGAUACAGAUGAUACGUCAAAAGUAAACCAGUUCUUCGUUGACGUAUUACGUACGUGAAGUAACUGGGCGAAAGUAAAGUGUAAGAAUAUAUAUGUAUGCUUGUUAAAACAGAGUUUGACGCAUUCUGCAGUUUUCUUCACAGUCAUUUAGAUUUGUGAAAAUAACUGGAUCGAGAACACGUCAACACGUAAAUAAAAUUAUUCUAAAUGUGUCACCUACCGUGAAGAAGCGGGCGAUCGUAAAGUGUAUGUGUAUGUGCGUAUGUUUAUUAUCGCAACUUAGAAGCAAUCCGCAAUUUUAUCGAAAGAUACCGGGAUUUGUCAAAAUUAUUUGAUACGAGAAUACGUCAACACGUGAUAAAGCUUCAUAAAUGUGUUGCCUACUUUGCAGUAAACGGGUGACUUUAAAAUGUAUGUGUAUGUUUAAUAUAGCAGAGUUUGAAACAUUCCACAGUUCUAUCCGCAGUCAACGCGAUUUGUCAAAAUUAUUGAUAUACAGAAAAAUAUGUCAACAAUUAACAAAAAGUUCUUCGUAAAAGUGUUACUUACCGUGAAGAAAGCGGACGAUCGUAAGUGUAUGUGCAUAUGCGUAUGUUUCUAAUAGUAACGUUUGAAGCAUUCUGCAAUUUUAUCGAACGAUACCGAAAUUUGUCAAAUGAUUGGAUACCGAGAAUACGCAACAAGUGUUAAAGUUCUUCGUAAAUGUGGUAGCCUAUCGUGAAGUAAACGGGCGACCCUAAAGUGUAUGUAUACAUAUAUUUUGUUAUAGCAGAAUUGACGCAUUCUGCAGUUUUAUCCACAGUCAUUUAGAUUUGUCAAAAUUAUUGGAUACCGAGAACACGUCAACACGUAAAUAAAAUUAUUCGUAAAUGUGUCACCUACCGUGAAGAAAGCGGGCGAUCGUAAAGUGUAUGUUUAUAUGCGUAUGUAUGUAUGGCAGAGUUUGAAGCAUCUGCAGUUUUCUUCACAGUCAUUUUAGAUUUGUCAAAAUAACUGGAUACCGAGAACACGUCAACACGUAAAUACAAUUAUUCUUAAAUGUGUCACCUACCGUGAAAAAAGCGGGCGAUCGUAAAGUGUAUGUGUAUGUGCGUAUGUUUGUUAUCGCAACUUUGAAGCAAUCCGCAAUUUUAUCGAAAGAUACCGGGAUUUGUCAAAAUUAUUUGAUACCGAGAAUACGUCAACACGUGAUAACGUUCUUCAUAAAUGUGUUGCCUACUGUGAAGUAAACGGGCGACCAUAAAAUGUAUGUGUAUAUGUGUAUGUUUAAUAUAGCAGAGUUUGAAUCAUAUCAAAGUUCUAUCCGCAGUCAACGAGAUUUGUCAAAAUUAUUGAUAUACAGAAAAUAUGUCAACAAUUAACAAAAGUUCUUCGUAAAAGUGUCAACUACCGUGCAGUAAAUGGACAAACGUAAAGUGUGUGUGUAUUUGUGUAUGUUUGUUACAUUAAAAUGUAAGUAUUCCGCAAUUUGAUCCAGUCACCGAGAUUUGUAAAAUAUAUUGGAUACAGAUGAUACGUCAACAAGUAAACCAGUUCUUCGUUGACGUAUUACGUACCGUGAAGUAACUGGGCGAAAGUAAAGUGUAAGAAUAUAUAUGUAUGCUUGUUAUAACAGAGUUUGACGCAUUCUGCAGUUUUCUUCACAGUCAUUUAGAUUUGUCAAAAUAACUGGAUACCGAGAACACGUCAACACGUAAAUAAAAAUAUUCUUAAAUGUGUCACCUACCGUGAAGAAAGCAGGCGAUCGCAAAGUGUAUGUGUAUGUGCGUAUGUUUAUUAUCGCAACUUAGAAGCAAUCCGCAAUUUUAUCGAAAGAUACCGGGAUUUGUCAAAAUUAUUUGAUACCGAGAAUACGUCAAUAAGUUAAAUAAAGUUCUUCGCUAAUUUGUAACCUACCGUGAAAUAACCGGCCGACCCUUAGGUAAAUGUGUAUAUGCGUAUGUUUGUUAUAGGAGAAUUAAAAGCAAUCCGCAGUUUUAUCCACAUUCAUUUAGAUUUGUAAAAAUUAUUGGAUACCGAGAAUACGUCAACAAGUAAAAAAAGUUAUUCGUAAAAGUGUCACCUACUGUGAAGAAAGCGGACGAUCGUAAAUUGUAUGUGCAUAUGCGUUUGUUUCUAAUAGUAACGUUUGAAGCAUUCCGCAAUUUUAUCGAAAGAUGCCGAGAUUUGUCAAAAUGAUUGGAUACCGAGAAUACGUCAACAAGUGUUAAAGUUCUUCGUAAAUGUGUAGCCUACCGUGAAGUAAACGGGCGACCUUAAAGUGUAUGUGUAUACGUAUAUGUUUGUUAUAGCAGAGUUUGACGCCUUCUGCAGUUUUAUCCACAGUCAUUUAGAUUUGUCAAAAUUAUUGGAUACUGAGAAUACGUCAACACGUAAAUACAAUUAUUCGUAAAUGUGUCACCUACCGUGAAGAAAGCUGGCGAUCGUAAAGUGUAUGUUUAUAUGCGUAUGUAUGUUAUAGCAGAGUUUGAAGCAUUCUGCAGUUUUCUUCACAGUCAUUUAGAUUUGUCAAAAUAACUGGAUACCGAGAACACGUCAACACGUAAAUAAAAUUAUUCUUAAAUGUGUCACCUACCGUGAAGAAAGCGGGCGAUCGUAAAGUGUAUGUGUAUGUGCGUAUGUUUGUUAUCGCAACUUUGAAGCAAUCCGCAAUUUUAUCGAAAGAUACCGGGAUUUGUCAAAAUUAUUUGAUACCGAGAAUACGUCAACACGUGAUAAAGUUCUUCAUAAAUGUGUUGCCUAAUGUGAAGUAAACGGGCGACCUUAAAAAGGUUAGUGUAUAUGUGUAUGUUUAAUAUAGCAGAGUUUGAAUCAUUCCACAGUUCUAUCCGCAGUCAACGAGAUUUGUCAAAAUUAUUGAUAUACAGAAAAUAUGUCAACAAUUAACAAAAGUUCUUCGUAAAAGUGUUACCUUCCGUGCAGUUAAUGGACAAACGUAAAGUGUGUGUGUAUUUGUGUAUGUUUGUUACAUUAAAAUGUUAGUAUUCCGCAAUUUGAUCCAGUCACCGAGAUUUGUAAAAUAUAUUGGAUACAGAUGAUACGUCAACAAGUAAACCAGUUCUUCGGUGACAUAUUACGUACCGUGAAGUAACUGGGCGAAAGUAAAGUGUAAGAAUAUAUAUGUAUGCUUGUUAUAACAGAGUUUGACGCAUUCACCGAAAUUUGUCAAAUUAGUAAAAACCGAGAAAAAAGGUUCUUCGUAAAUGUGUAACGUACCGUGAUAUUACUGUGCCACUGUUAAGUAUAUGUGUAUAUGUUGUGUUUGUUAUAGAAGAGUUCGAAGCAUAUCACAGUUUUAUUCACAGACUCCAACAUACGUCAACAAGUGAAAAAAGUUCUUCGUAAAUAUGCUGCCUACAGUGAAUUAACUUGGUGACCGUAAAAUAUAUGUGUUUGUUUGUUAACGCAGAGUUUCAACUGUGGUAAAUGAACAGUUAGGUAACAUGUAACGGGUCACAUUGGCACACACAUCAACUGAAACAAUUAUAACUCGAAAAGAAAAGAAUGAUUGGAAUUACAUAUCAAAGCGAGACUCUCAGAAAAAAAGCAAUUUACAAGAGCCCGAAGAAUAACAAGAUCAAUGCUGGCCAAGCCAAAGUAGGACAAAAGGUAACUCAAGUAUACUUACUCGUAAAUGUAUCUCCUAUAUGUUUGUAUGUAUUUGAUUGAUAUUUGACAUGUUUAUUGCUGGCAUAGCUCAUGCUAAGAAUUACCCA
rnacentral:lncRNA from 1 species